rnacentral:tRNA from 1 species
GAGGGUAUAGCUCAGUGGUAGAGUGCAUGCCUAGCAUGCACAAGGUCCUGGGCUCAAUCUCCAGUACCUCCA